rnacentral:rRNA from 1 species
UACGUAGGCAGCAAGCGUUGUUCGGAAUUACUGGGCGUAAAGCGCACGUAGGCGGCUCUUUAAGUCGGAGGUGAAAUCCUGGAGCUCAACUCCAGAACUGCCUUCGAUACUGAAGAGCUCGAGUCCGGGAGAGGUGAGUGGAACUGCGAGUGUAGAGGUGAAAUUCGUAGAUAUUCGCAAGAACACCAGUGGCGAAGGCGGCUCACUGGCCCGGUACUGACGCUGAGGUGCGAAAGCGUGGGGAGCAAACAGGG